GCGGGCCGCGCCCGCGGGAGUCCGUGAGGCGGAACCGGAGACGUGAGGUGUCCGUGCGGACCUUUGGCAGCGUGUUCUUCCGGGAAAAAAAGCCUUCUUAUCGACCCCGGAGUGAUUCAGGAUGAGAGCACAGAUGCUUUACACCAGCAGGAGGUUCACCCACAGCCAAGGAGAACAGCAAACUCACCAGCUUUUUUCUGGGUCUCUUGGGCCUGACAUCCACAGCAUCCUUUGUCAUAUCCCAGUGGUGGAUGUCCAAACAGCUCUUUCCCUUCAGCUGCUCAUCUCUUGAGUGCUCUCAGAAGAAAAUCUUUGGUUUGCCUCACAGUUUUAUUAGGCACAUAAAUAGACCCUCAAGCAAAAGUCACCCCAAAAGGACCAGCAAAAAGGAGCCUGGGGUUUUAACACCUCCUGGCAGUCUGGACUUGCAAAUUACAUUUUCCUGCUGUACUUCUCUGCAACUCCCUCAAUUACCCAAACAGGAAACUGGAAAGUCCCACAGGCUCUUGGGUCUCUCCCUCACACUGACAACUGGCACCCAGCAUCUGUACUUUGGCUGGCUUGUUCACCAAUGUGAUCAAGAGUGAUCUGGGCAAGGAGGAAGAGCCUGCAAAUUGUCUUCAUGGGAGAAUUUUCAAUUCUGAGCUGAAAGGAAACAGGCCUGGAAAUUACAUUGGUCUUUGUGUGGUUGUUUCUCCUCAUAGCUCAGUCUUAAGGUGGGUGGCUGGAUCAUCCUUUGCUGAUUGUGCAGUAACACCUCUACUUCAGGAUUCUUUUGUGUACAAUGUGUAGAACACCUGGAAUAUUAGAUAUACCUCCAAACCAUAGGAACGACACCAAAUUGCAAAGCCAAUAUAUGAUACCAUGUACAAUGUAUUAAUGCUCUUCUAAUGGUUUUGAUAGCAGAAUACCAAAUUCUGUUAAAUGCUGCAUAUAUGAUUAAUAAAUACAAAACCAUGAAUAAACAAAGUUCAGAAUCUGUUCCUCAGCUGAGUUGAAGAAAUAUAUAUGGGAAAUGGGAAUCAAAACUAAAGAAAUGAAAAGAUUCUUCUUGUUGUAGGUUGUUGCUGGAGUACUACUUGAUACAAAGUGGUGUUAUCCUGGGGGAUUUGUAAUGAGAAAAGUCCAUUAAAGAACUCAAAGAAUUUCUCUGUGAUCAAGAUUUGGAUGUAAUUAAUUUUAAUUCAUCUACACUACAGAGAUGUGCAAUGGCAUGUGUGAACAUGUGAUGUGCAUCCCCUGCACUCCUCCUGAGGCCUCAGUGUGGUCUGAGAAAUGCUCAUUAGGCCUCGAUCUUCACAAACGGCACCUAGGCUGAGCUCCUUCUGAGUUUAUCAAAAUCAGUCUGUUCCCAGGAACUAGGACUGUCUAAUGAGCUCCUGAUUUUUAAUGAACUGCCUUGGAAACUUACUUUUCUUGCCUCGAAAACAACCCAAGCAGAAUAACAAUUUUGUUAUCAAACUUUCAAAGAACAUGCUAUCCCAGAUUUGCAGUCAAGAUGAAAAAUUAUUAUGAUUGAAGCCCAUUCUCUUGUGACUCUAUAAACAAUGGCCCAAGGUGAGACCCUUUGAGCUCUCCUGGACAGCAGAGACUGUGACCAGCACCUCCCUCUAUGUGAGGCCUCUCAGAGCCAGAGAACGCUCAAGUUUGCUAAACUUGGAAGAUCACUGAAUGAUAAUGAUGGACUUACACCCCCACUUCUCCAGACUCAACCCUUUGCCCAUUGGGAUGAUCCAAAGGCAUCAGAUGUGUGUCCUUCACCAAAUUUGAGGAGAAUUUGUCACAGGUACUCUGUGGGUGUUCUUAUACAGACCCUUUAGGUAUGUGUGCAUGAGGGUGUGAAUAUGCUAUAGCAUAUGUACAAGGAAUGCUGUUCUCCUAGAUUCUUAAGUACUUCAGGUUUGUAAGUUAGGCCAAUGAGUUGUAGUAAAUUCUAUAUGAAUCCUUAGAUAAAUUGUUUGUCAGUUAAGUGCCCUUAAGUGCUGUUAAAGCUAUAGACCUAAACUGUCAAGUCUGGGGCGCAGUUUAGCAAAGGGGUCUACUCUGAAACUUGUGAUGCAAUGGGAGGGUCUUCCUUAUUCUUGUUUGUCCUUACCCCUUUCCUAUCCUUAUCCCCAGCCUCCACAGAGUUAAGUUUUGAGUUGAUUUUGGAUUUCAAUUGACUGGUUUUGGGUUUUGAGUUUGCUCUUUUUCUGUGUGCUUUUACCAGAGCAUUAGUAGUAAGUAGUAGUAGAGGGAACCUUGUAAAUUAACUACAUCAUACUUCCUGUUUUAUAUUAAACGUGCUUUUGCCUAUGAAUUUGCUGUGAUUCUUUAAGUAACCUUAAAACGCUCAUUUGCCAGAGAACACUAAGAAAAAUAAACACGUGUACAUUUGAACCAAUGCAUUGGCACAGCAUUAGGUUUCUGUUGCUGCCAGCACAGGCUUAAGCUGUGCAUUGGCUGAGCAGCAGCACCAUCUUGUGAUACAGGUACAAAACAUUCUGUAGGGUCACACACCUGGAUGUUCACCCUGUGCUUGGCAAGUGGGGGACUCAGCUUCUGGCCUUUGCACUGGCCACUGAUCCCGACCCAGUCGUUCUGUUGAGCUACUUCAGCCUCACCCUGUUUCAUUGGCGCUUAAUUGAAACAUGGACAGCUAAUUCAGUUAUCGAUCAGCUCCCAAAGCAUCCAGGGAGCUGCUGGCAACUGGGCUUAAGGUCUGGUCAUUUUAGUUUGUUUUGGAAGCUCUACUUCUGUCAUUAUAGAUGUCCUGCUGGUAUAUUAAGUCUUACCUGAUGUACUAACUCUUAUCACUGUCAUAAUCACACCAGGAAUGGGACUAAUCUGUCUUCCUUGCUGAGGCUUAGGAGAAAUGCAGGAGAAAAGCAAGCUGUGUGUGUCAUCAAUGAGGCAAUGCCAUGGGGUUUUUGAAGUUUUUGGACUUAUGUCAUUUUAGAUGCUGAGCUAUAGGUAAAAAAACUGUCAGGCAGUCUGCUUAAUAGACUCCCCAUCUAUUAAAAAAGAGAGUGCACACACUCUCCUGUAUAUCAGUUAGUCUUGGAGCAUGCCACCAACUCUCCAUGAAUAGUAAUGAUGAUAAUAGCAAGUAA